rnacentral:rRNA from 1 species
AGGGAGGGGACAAAGACRGRGRGGCUGGMGGCGUGCCUAWACAUGCARUCGRCGGMAGWGGGAGCUUGCUCCCUGWGUUAGCGGCGGACGGGUGAGUAACACGUGGGUAACCUGCCUGUAAGACUGGGAUAACUCCGGGAAACCGGGGCUAAUACCGGAUGSUUGUUUGAACCGCAUGGUUCAGACAUAAAAGGUGGCUUCGGCUACCACUUACAGAUGGACCCGCGGCGCAUUAGCUAGUUGGUGAGGUAACGGCUCACCAAGGCRACGAUGCGUAGCCGACCUGAGAGGGUGAUCGGCCACACUGGGACUGAGACACGGCCCAGACUCCUACGGGAGGCAGCAGUAGGGAAUCUUCCGCAAUGGACGAAAGUCUGACGGAGCAACGCCGCGUGAGUGAUGAAGGUUUUCGGAUCGUAAAGCUCUGUUGUUAGGGAAGAACAAGUGCCGUUCAAAUAGGGCGGCACCUUGACGGUACCUAACCAGAAAGCCACGGCUAACUACGUGCCAGCAGCCGCGGUAAUACGUAGGUGGCAAGCGUUGUCCGGAAUUAUUGGGCGUAAAGGGCUCGCAGGCGGUUUCUUAAGUCUGAUGUGAAAGCCCCCGGCUCAACCGGGGAGGGUCAKUGGAAAACUGGGGAACUUGAGUGCAGAAAAGGAAGUGGAAU